GUUUUUAAUCGCGAUGCCCAAGUCUACGAUACCCUUAUCUAGACGUCAUAAACGAACUCGACGAUCGUUAGCGGUGAAGCGUCAGUUAAAAAAUCUUCAUGAAUCGAGAAAUAGUGAUCAGAAUCGCAUUGCAGAGGAGAUUCAUCAGCCCGAAGGGGCACUCGAAGGGUGAGAGUACAGAAGUCAACUUGAUACCGACAAUUGAAGAUUUUUUCUCGAGAUCAAAAAAAUAUUGGAGCCACUGGUCAGCAAAGCAAAUCAACUGUCAUACAAUCAGACUACAAAUCAAGCAGAAAGGUAUAUAUAUAUU